rnacentral:rRNA from 1 species
CCUAUUAUUUAAGAGCUUAACAUUGUAAGUAAAUAAUAAUUAUGAAAGCAAAAAAUUAUGGCGGUAUUUUAAGCUUUUCAGAGGAAUUUGCUCUUUAAUGGAUAAAACACCAAAAUCUUACUUAGAUUUGUGAUUUCAAUUUGUAUACCACUAUUAAAACAAUUUAUAACUUUAAUUGUUUAAAUUUACAAAACUAAAAUAUAUUAAGUCAAGGUGCAGUAAAAAUUUAAGGAUGAAGUGAAUUACAUUACUUUUUAGUGAGAUAAGUUUAUAACAAUAUUUAGGAUUUGAAAGUAAAAUUAAAAUAGGAUGUUAAUU